rnacentral:misc_RNA from 1 species
GAUGAAGAACGUAGCGAAAUGCGAUAAGUAAUGUGAAUUGCAGAAUUCAGUGAAUCAUCGAAUCUUUGAACGCACAUUGCGCCCCCUGGUAUUCCGGGGGGCAUGCCUGUCCGAGCGUCAUUACAACCCUCAAGCUCAGCUUGGUGUUGGGCCCCGCCGCCCCGGCGGGCCCUAAAGUCAGUGGCGGUGCCGUCCGGCUCCGAGCGUAGUAAUUCUUCUUGCUCUGGAGGUCCGGUCGUGUGCUCGCCAGCAACCCCCAAUUUUUUUCAGGUUGACCUCGGCUCAGGUAGGGAUACCCGCUGAACUUAAGCAUAUCAAUAAGCGGAGGA